UGGCGGACGGGUGAGUAAUGUCUGGGAAACUGCCCGAUGGAGGGGGAUAACUACUGGAAACGGUAGCUAAUACCGCAUAACGUCGCAAGACCAAAGAGGGGACCUUCGGGCCUCUUGCCAUCGGAUGUGCCCAGAUGGGAUUAGCUAGUAGGUGGGGUAACGGCUCACCUAGGCGACGAUCCCUAGCUGGUCUGAGAGGAUGACCAACCACACUGGAACUGAGACACGGUCCAG
rnacentral:rRNA from 1 species